CGGCUCACCAAGGCGACGAUCCCUAGCUGGUCUGAGAGGAUGACCAGCCACACUGGAACUGAGACACGGUCCAGACUCCUACGGGAGGCAGCAGUGGGGAAUAUUGCACAAUGGGCGCAAGCCUGAUGCAGCCAUGCCGCGUGUAUGAAGAAGGCCUUCGGGUUGUAAAGUACUUUCAGCGGGGAGGAAGGGGGUAAAGUUAAUACCUUUGCUCAUUGACGUUACCCGCAGAAGAAGCACCGGCUAACUCCGUGCCAGCAGCCGCGGUAAUACGGAGGGUGCAAGCGUUAAUCGGAAUUACUGGGCGUAAAGCGCACGCAGGCGGUUUGUUAAGUCAGAUGUGAAAUCCCCGGGCUCAACCUGGGAACUGCAUCUGAUACUGGCAAGCUUGAGUCUCGUAGAGGGGGGUAGAAUUCCAGGUGUAGCGGUGAAAUGCGUAGAGAUCUGGAGGAAUACCGGUGGCGAAGGCGGCCCCCUGGACGAAGACUGACGCUCAGGUGCGAAAGCGUGGGGAGCAAACAGGAUUAGAUACCCUGGUAGUCCACGCCGUAAACGAUGUCGACUUGGAGGUUGUGCCCUUGAGGCGUGGCUUCCGGAGCUAACGCGUUAAGUCGACCGCCUGGGGAGUACGGCCGCAAGGUUAAAACUCAAAUGAAUUGACGGGGGCCCGCACAAGCGGUGGAGCAUGUGGUUUAAUUCGAUGCAACGCGAAGAACCUUACCUGGUCUUGACAUCCACGGAAGUUUUCAGAGAUGAGAAUGUGCCUUCGGGAACCGUGAGACAGGUGCUGCAUGGCUGUCGUCAGCUCGUGUUGUGAAAUGUUGGGUUAAGUCCCGCAACGAGCGCAACCCUUAUCCUUUGUUGCCAGCGGUCCGGCCGGGAACUCAAAGGAGACUGCCAGUGAUAAACUGGAGGAAGGUGGGGAUGACGUCAAGUCAUCAUGCCCCUUACGACCAGGGCUACACACGUGCUACAAUGGCGCAUACAAAGAGAAGCGACCUCGCGAGAGCAAGCGGACCUCAUAAAGUGCGUCGUAGUCCGGAUUGGAGUCUGCAACUCGACUCCAUGAAGUCGGAAUCGCUAGUAAUCGUGGAUCAGAAUGCCACGGUGAAUACGUUCCCGGGCCUUGUACACACCGCCCGUCACACCAUGGGAGUGGGUUGCAAAAGAAGUAGGUAGCUUAACCUUCGGGAGGGCGCUUACCACUUUGUGAUUCAUGACUGGGGUGAAGUCGUAACAAGGUA
rnacentral:rRNA from 1 species